GCUGCAUUCGGAGGUAUCAAAAUUCACACGGUAGCGACCACUUUCACCUGCUGCCUGCAAGGUAUGCAACUGGUGCGACGUUGGCGCUGCACACAUUGCCGCCGCAGAGCGUGAGUCUGUUGCUUUUUUAUUUUUAAAGCAUCGGCGAUCGAUUGUCCGUAGUAUUGGGUUUCUUGCUCGCUCAGUUUGCCGUGUUUGUUUCGCUCGUCAUCACAACAAACUGUAAUUGGAGAUCGUUCCUAGAACUUGACAGUCGACUUAAUAGAAAAGUGACGACGGCAAGUCAUUCCCUGUGGAUGUUAUACGCUUUUCAGCGCGAGGAAAUGCAUAUUACGCUCUCCUGUUGUUUGGUACAAUUGGUUAACUUUCUUAUUUUGAAACCCAUUUCAAGCGAGUCUCGUGAGGAAAUGAGGUUACCGUUAAAACUUUUAGUGAAUUCUGAUAGUGACUAUUUAAUUAUCUUAAGUCAAAUGUGAUUAUUGAAAGUUAUUAGUUGUUACUUUAUUUAUUUUUGUGGAUGGUGAAAGAACAUAUGUGUUCAUGCGUAUAAAAAAUAUCUGUCUUCCUGCUUGGAAUAAAAAGAAGCAAACCAAGGUCUCCGCCAACGCCGCUUUUUGUAAUGCGCUGAUUCGCCGCUGGCUUGGAGAAUCUGGUUUUGGUCCAGUCUGCUUUCUGAUCGCACGUGAAGAAUGAGCUGCUUUAGAGGAGGACUCGUAUAAUUGUUUGCAUUUCGCUCUAUUUUAUCACAAUUCAAAUUUUCCUUUGAAGAUGGCACCAGUUUUCAGCUGGGAUAAAAGGUAGUGAGAUUGGCCCUUUGAUCACUUCCCCUAUGGAAAGCAGAAAUUUAGCUGAGCCCUUGAAUUUUUAUUUCUAGGAGAGUCAUUGCCACUUUUGAUGAGGAACCAGGAGGUUUCAAUGAGUCAACAGACCAAACAGCUAUUUACUUCGGUCGCUGCUCUGAGGUUGACAAAGACCAGCCAUUCACAGACAACAAUGAAGGCUAUCGGACAAAAAUAAAAUUUUGAAGUUUAAUCAAUUUUACGAUUUUUAUACCAGUGCUUAAAUCUACUUUGGAAAAUUGCAAGAAAUUUAAAAAAAAACUACAGACUAACGUAAAUGGCUAUUCUCUGUGUUCUCUUCUUCUUUCGUUUAGUUUAUAUAAUGAAUAAAUUUAUUAUUAAAUGCAUAUGUGCGUGCGACACUAAUCCUAUACAAUCAAUUCUUUCAAGUCUUUGCUGCUUUUCUUAAACUAAUUCUUUUUAAUACACAUUUCAAAAUAUGUUAUAUUUUUUUAGUUAAUAUAAUGCAUUUAAUUUUUUAUUCUUUUGUUAGUUAAAAUUUCGACAUUCAGAUUGGUGUUGUUUCAAAGUGUAAUUAAACUCAAUUUUUUACUUUUAGGUAGUCAAACUGGAAUAUCAGGUCCUGUGAUUUUUUUCACAUUUUAAUCUUCGUUCCAAGAAUCCAUGAAUUCAACGAUUGGGGAAGGCCAAUGUGUUUAUUCAAUAAACAGACAAUGCUUAGGAUUUUAGCCAGUCAGAAGAACAGUGCGCCUAAAGCGGUUACUUAGUGCACAAUUACAUGGCGAAAAUGUUGAACUACAUAGCGAAUGUUUGAAGAACAAGAAGAGCGGAAUUGUGUGCGACCCUGAGGGCUUAAAACUCUGUGUCGACAAAGAUUGAGCUUCUUGGACGCGGGGACAAGUGAAUUUGCACAAUUACGCAGGCUCUUUUCUGACAUCACUUAUCGUGACAGUACCUGCAUGCACUUUUGUCGACUUGCUGGACCACAUGAAUACAUUUAAACUCUGCAAACAAACAAUCUAAGUUUUCCCGAGUGUGGGAUGAAGUGGAGCAUUUUGCGCAGUGAGAGACUUGGAAAAUAUCUCAGCUACAUUCCGGUUGAACACAUUAUCCGUGGUCAAUCGAGCAAGCAGGGAAAGCAGAAAGUACCCUUGGCAUGCGGACACAUCCAUUUGGCGGCACUCUUAUCUUGCCCAAAGCCGGGAUCACUGGUGAUUGAUGAAAAUUAAGAAUCUACCAAAUUACAAUUUGCUCCUCAUUCUGCGCUAUUCUCUUUCCUGGAAUGAACUUCUGCGCCGGUAUCUUAAAUGGAAGGAGCACAUGCAACGGAGUCUGUGGCGGCGGCAUUCUGCUGGAAAGGGGCGCCCGCUGGAUGAUCAGGGGUAUUCGGAGCCCGGGCAGGAGACACAAAACGUAUUAUACUGACUUUUAAAUUACUCAAUCAUUGACUUACGAGCUCAUUUAAUUUUUCUCUCAAUGAAAUUAGUUAGUAGAAUGUUUUAUUUUCCCAAUGUAGUGCCUGUCAAUAGGUGGCACUCUCCUCCUCCCUUUCCCUGAGCUGUGAACCUUUCCUUAGUGUUAGUGUCAUUACGAUAUAUUUCCCUUUAGCGUGAGACGUCAUAUUUACUCACGCCGCAGACGCUGUGAAUAAUUUCGCUCAAUACUAUUUAAUUCGCUCGUCUGUGUAUAAUCGAGAAUAUAUUUUGUGAGCCCAAUUGUAAUUGACUGACCCGGAUUAACGGGUCCAAAUUUGAGGCAUUAAUAAAGGCAUUAAACGAAUUUGAGCAAUUUACUUCGAGCAUAUUCCUCACCAACAAGUAAAUAUUAAACCAAACAGGUAGAGAAACACAAGCCUGUUUUUUACAUUUGU